rnacentral:tRNA from 1 species
GCUUCGGUGGCGAAAUUGGUAGACGCGCUGGAUUCAAAAUCCAGUUCCUCUUGGAGUGUGGGUUCGAUUCCCACCCGAAGUA